rnacentral:rRNA from 1 species
CCUACGGGGGGCAGCAGUGGGGAAUAUUGCACAAUGGACGAAAGUCUGAUGCAGCAACGCCGCGUGGAGGAUGACACAUUUCGGUGCGUAAACUCCUUUUAUAUAGGAAGAUAAUGACGGUACUAUAUGAAUAAGCACCGGCUAACUCCGUGCCAGCAGCCGCGGUAAUACGGAGGGUGCAAGCGUUACUCGGAAUUACUGGGCGUAAAGAGCGUGUAGGCGGGUCAAUAAGUUGGAAGUGAAAUCCUAUGGCUCAACCAUAGAACUGCUUCCAAAACUGUUAACCUAGAAUGUGGGAGAGGUAGAUGGAAUUUCUGGUGUAGGGGUAAAAUCCGUAGAUAUUAGAAGGAGUACCGAUUGCGAAGGCGAUCUACUGGAACACUAUUGACGCUGAGACGCGAAAGCGUGGGGAGCAAACAGGAUUAGAUACCCUGGUAGUCCACGCCCUAAACGAAGUACACUAGUUGUUGUGAGGCUAGACCUUGCAGUAAUGCAGUUAACACAUUAAGUGUACCGCCUGGGGAGUUCGGUCGCAAGAUUAAAACUCAAAGGAAUAGACGGGGACCCGCACAAGCGGUGGAGCAUGUGGUUUAAUUCGACGAUACGCGAAGAACCUUACCUGGUCUUGACAUAGUAAGAAAUCUUUAGAGAUAGAGAUGUGUCUGCUUGCAGAAACUUAUAUACAGGUGCUGCACGGCUGUCGUCAGCUCGUGUCGUGAGAUGUUGGGUUAAGUCCCGCAACGAGCGCAACCCUCGUCGUUAGUUGCUAACAGUUCGGCUGAGAACUCUAACGAGACUGCCUACGCAAGUAGGAGGAAGGUGAGGACGACGUCAAGUCAUCAUGGCCCUUACGACCAGGGCUACACACGUGCUACAAUGGGGCAUACAAAGAGCAGCAAUACAGUGAUGUGGAGCGAAUCUCAAAAAUGCCUCCCAGUUCGGAUAGUAGUCUGCAACUCGACUACUUGAAGUUGGAAUCGCUAGUAAUCGUAGAUCAGCUAUGCUACGGUGAAUACGUUCCCGGGUCUUGUACACACCGCCCGUC